rnacentral:ncRNA from 1 species
AUUCUGGACAGAACCUUUACCAAAUGUGCGUUCGCCAACGAUUAAAGCACGUUUAUGAUCUCCAAGAGCUCCUGCAACAAUUUCUGAUGCAGAAGCAGAGCCUGCAUUUACCAAUACAACGAUUGGAGCAGUGAUAUCACUUGUAUUAUUGGUUGCUUUAAAUUCUUUACUGCUUUCUUCCAUUCUCCCUCUAAUAGAAACAAUUGUUCCUUCUUUAAGGAAGACAUCUGUGACACUAAUUGCUUGUUCAAGAAGACCUCCAGGAUUACUUCU